UACAGAGGGUGCAAGCGUUAAUCGGAAUUACUGGGCGUAAAGCGCGCGUAGGUGGUUCGUUAAGUUGGAUGUGAAAUCCCCGGGCUCAACCUGGGAACUGCAUCCAAAACUGGCGAGCUAGAGUAUGGUAGAGGGUGGUGGAAUUUCCUGUGUAGCGGUGAAAUGCGUAGAUAUAGGAAGGAACACCAGUGGCGAAGGCGACUUACUGGACAACUGUUGACGCUGAGGUGCGAAAGCGUGGGGAGCAAACAGG
rnacentral:rRNA from 1 species